rnacentral:rRNA from 1 species
UACGAAGGGUGCAAGCGUUACUCGGAAUUACUGGGCGUAAAGCGUGCGUAGGUGGUCGCUUAAGUCCGUUGUGAAAGCCCUGGGCUCAACCUGGGAACUGCAGUGGAUACUGGGCGACUAGAGUGUGGUAGAGGGUAGCGGAAUUCCUGGUGUAGCAGUGAAAUGCGUAGAGAUCAGGAGGAACAUCCAUGGCGAAGGCAGCUAUCUGGACCAACACUGACACUGAGGCACGAAAGCGUGGGGAGCAAACAGG